rnacentral:rRNA from 1 species
UGGGUGAUCUGCCCUGCACUUCGGGAUAAGCCUGGGAAACUGGGUCUAAUACCGGAUAUGACCUUGGGAUGCAUGUCCUUUGGUGGAAAGCUUUUGCGGUGUGGGAUGGGCCCGCGGCCUAUCAGCUUGUUGGUGGGGUUAAGGCCUACCAAGGCGACGACGGGUAGCCGGCCUGAGAGGGUGAUCGGCCACACUGGGACUGAGACACGGCCCAGACUCCUACGGGAGGCA